rnacentral:rRNA from 1 species
UUAAAUAGCCGCAAGUAGUUGCGCAAAGGUAGCAUAAUAACUUGUUCUUUAAUUGAGAGAUAGAAUGAAAGGUUUAACGAGGGGAAAACUUUUUCAAGAUAAAACAAUGAAAUUAACUUUUAAGUCAAAAGGCUUAAAUAAAUUUGAAGGACGAGAAGACCCUAUACCACUUUAUUAAAUAUAAGUUUGUACUAGAUUUUGAAAAUGAACGAAUUACAAAUUCAAUAAUAAUUAGAAUGGGAUAGGGAAGAUAUAAAAAAAAUUUAAAUUUUUUUUUAAACUUACAUUAAUUAAAAAUAAGAUGAUCCAUAAAUUUUGAAAAAAGAAAAAAUUAGGGAUGGGAUAACAGCGUAAUUUUUUUUUUUAGUUCUUAUAGGAAAAAGAGUUCGCGACCUCGAUGUUGGAUUAAGAUAAAAUUUAAAUGUAGAAGUUAA